GGUAAGAUGGCCGAGUUGGUCUAAGGCGCCAGGUUAGUUACCAUUUGUUCUUCUGUAAUUAGAAUUUCCACUAAUCAUAUCACAGACUUAAGUAUCACUUCCAGUGUGCUUUCUGGUCUCGAAAGAGGCGUGGGUUCGAAACCCGCUCUUACCA
rnacentral:tRNA from 1 species